GCGUACUACGGGCGACGUGGGGAUCGAAGUUGUAGGGUGCAGUAGUGAAUCGGACUUGUGGGGGGUUAGGCGUGCGCAGGCGGUGUUGUAAGCCAGAUGUGAAAUCCCGGAGCUUAACUUGGGAACUGCGUUGUGAACUACAAGACUAGAGUGUGUGAGAGGGGGGUAGAAUUCCACGUGUAGCAGUGAAAUGCGUAGAGAUGUGGAGGAAUACCGAUGGCGAAGGCAGCCCCCUGGGAUAACACUGACGCUCAUGCACGAAAGCGUGGGGAGCAAACAGGAUUAGAUACCCGGGUAGUC
rnacentral:rRNA from 1 species